rnacentral:rRNA from 1 species
UACAGAGGUCCCAAGCGUUUGUUCGGAUUCAUUGGGCGUAAAGGGUGCGUAGGCGGCGGGGUAAGUCAGGUGUGAAAUCCCGGAGCUCAACUCCGGAACUGCACUUGAUACUGCCUUGCUCGAGUACUGGAGAGGAGACUGGAAUUUACGGUGUAGCAGUGAAAUGCGUAGAUAUCGUAAGGAAGACCAGUGGCGAAGGCGAGUCUCUGGACAGUUACUGACGCUGAGGCACGAAGGCCAGGGGAGCAAACGGGG